rnacentral:pre_miRNA from 1 species
GGCCCAAAUUUGAAGUAGAGUAGUUAGGUCAGGUCAGCCAAUCCUUCUAAUCUACUCUACCUCGAAUUUAGGCCC